CUCCGCCCCCGGAUAUCCGGAUAUAAAAGGGAGAUGGCGUGCCUCAUUCAUUCAUCUUAGUUCUGAGGAGCCUGAGACCUCUCACGACUGCUGCAGUGGACAGCACGUGUUGUGGCAAGAGGACACAAUGUCUCGUUCCCUCCAUCAGGGAACCGAGGUUACAAACGUAACCGAGACGUUCCCUUUCUGUCGGUCUCUCGACGUUGUGUCGAACCGACAGAUGGGGUUCCAAUGGAAAACGCCAUAACACUGUGCCCUGUCACAAUCUCAACGGAGCGAUGGUGACUGGCCUGGGCGUGUCAGCCGUGACGCUACCUCGAAAUUGUGACCUACCAGUGGGUAGGUAGGGGGUCCCAGAGCUUUCUUGAAAGGUGGGAAGGCCCCUACCUUCGGCCUCACAGGCGGCGGUCUUGUUUCUCUAACAGCGAGAAGCCGCCCGGAACCGUAAGGCCACUGGGUAAGCACUACUUCCUCAAGCGGGGGAUGCGCUACAGAGACCACUUCCUACCACAGGGAGGAGACUAGUGGAGAUACCAACAUGGUCUCACCGAUGGGGGAGAACUCUCACCGAAGGGGAAGAAAGUGCGGACUGAAGGAGUUAACCGCGAGGUGGAGGUCCACCUAAGGAGGUCAUGGGUUACCAGGGUGGGAACCAGCAUGAGAAUACAUCAGACGGAACCGCCCUGCUGGGGGGUUGCAGGAUACAUCAGACGGAACCGCCCUGCUGGGGGGUUGCAACGUCUGGUAGCACUAGGUCCGGUUAGAGCUAUGUUGCGAAUAACUCAGGUGAUACCCGGCCUAAGGGGCAGGGCUGCUCUGCCCAGCCCGCCCACAGGAGGUGCUUGCUAGUGAUGGAUGGAGUGCCUGUUCUUCACCCAGUGGGGGAAGAAGGGAGGCUAGUAGUACGCUGACCCCCUAGGGUCAGGUACUGUCAUAGGCGUACACCCUACCGGUCGCCGGUCUUGCCUGAUGCCCGCAAGACUCGCCGACCGGUUUUACGCGAAGGCUGUAGGACCCCGCGAAGGUGAUGGGUAGCCCAACCCGCAGCUCUGCAGAUGUCCGCCAGAGAGGCGCCUCGAGCCAGUGCCCACGAGGAGGCUGUACUCCGUGUGGAGAGAGCUCUCACCCAGUGGGCGUAGGCGAACUAGGACAGGUACGCCAUAGUGACGGCGUCCAUGAUCCAUUGUGUCAAUCUCUGUUUGAGACAGCCCUCCCUGCUGAUCUCCAAAACAGACAAAGAGCUGCUCAGAGCUACUGCGGCUCUGCGUGUGGUCCAAGCAGAGGCGCAAUGCGCGUACUGGACACAACACGGAAGGGGUUGGGUCUUCCUCCCCGGUGGGGAGCACCUGUAAGUUCACCACCUGGUGUCUCGGGGGAGUGGUGGGAACUUCGGGCUCUGCACGAGAGGUUGUAACCCCUUCAGUGCGGGUAGCACAUCCAACAACUCUAGGCAUUUGAUAUGCCUGCGCAGGCGGGGGCCCGUCCAUCGCCCCGACACUGCGUGCCCAUUGCACACGGCACCCCAACCCUGCAGGGAGGCGUCUGUCGACCCUGACGCGUCUCGCCAUAACAGAUUGUCGACCCAUAACAGAUCUCACAAGUGUGUCAAAUGAGCCAGUCGUCAUGAUAGUUUAGUAGCCGCACACCACUCUCCCUGAGGGGAGUGAGGGCGGCUUCCACGAUCUUCGUGAAGACUCGUGGGGACAGGGACAUACUGAAGGGGAGGACUCUGUACUAAUAUGCCUGACCCUCGAAAGCGAACCGUAGGAACGGGCGAUGACGAGGGAGAAUUGAGACAUGAGAGUAAGCGUCCUUCAGGUCGAUUGCCAUGAAUCCAUCUUGACAUCUGAUAGAUGCCAGGAUGCGCUUCUGCGUGAGCAUCCUGAACGGCAGCUUGAGUAGGUGCCUGUUCAGGGUACACAGAUCUAGCGACCCCCGCUCUUUUGGGGACGAUGAAGUACGGGCUGUAAAACCCGUUGAACAUCUCGGCUAGAGGGACGAGCACGAUCGCUUCCUCACCAGAGGGGUGGCGACCUCGGCCCUAAGCACUGGGCAUCCUUGCCUCUGCUGAGGUUAAGAGGAUGCCCCGAAACUUGGGCGGGCGUCUAGGGAGUUGGAUCGCGUAGCCGAGACAGACCGUAUCCCGUAGUCACCGUGACGGUUUGGGAAGCUCUUGUCAAGCUCCCAGGGACCGAGACAGGGAGGCUAGGGGUAUGUUCUGCUUCAUCGACCUCCUAGGGGUGGUUCGAUGGCUGGCAGUGCGGAUCCCUCGCCGUGGGGGGGAUCCCCGGAGAGGAGAUCGGCUCUGCAGUUUUACCUGCCUGGCGAUGAUGUAGCACAACGCACCAUCGAAUGAGAGUGCUUAGGCUGAUGAUUAUCCUCGACAUUGAGUCUUGCCGCAACGUCGAGUUGCCGAACACCGUCAUGUAGAGGGUGAGAGCGGCUGUGAUAAUACCCAGACGAUGAUGUGGCACAAAGCACCGUCGAUUGAGAGUGCUUAGGCUGCUGAUUAUCCUCGACAUUGGGUCUCGCCGUGACGCAACUUCGAGUUGCCUAACACCGUUGUGUAGAGGGUGAGAGCGGCUGUGAUAAACGCCCAGAGAGGGAGAAAACUUUUAGAAAGGUAUUCUCGAACUCCCUGGGGUCUUCCCAUGAGGGCCACCAUUGGCUUUCACCGCGGCUGCUGAUGGGGUGGUGGUCUCCUCUUCGAUGUCUCGAAGAGGACCAGGGCUGCUGGGAAGCAGACGGUGCACGGGAUCUUGGCGGCCAGAAGGCGGUCGAGUCACGGCUGGGGAGGACAUACGUGAUAUCCUCUGUCUGCUCCCUAACUGUCGAACUCGACAGUAUCACCAAACAGCCCCCCCUUGCGAGAUGGGUGCAUCGAGAAAGCGGACUUUCUCAGAGUUACUCACCUGUGCAAGGUUCAGCCAGAAGUGUCUCUCCUGGACCACAAGUGUGGACAUCGCCCGACCACCUUGUUCGCCCGAGAGCGAGGUCGGUAAAGCCGCAGAAUUCCUGCAUAAGCGCUGGGUCGGUCUUACCCUCGUGGAGCUCUCUCUGUGCAUUGGCCUGCAGGAAGGCCAUAGCAUGGAGAGAGGGGACAGCUCGGUCCGCAGCAGAGUAAGCUCUCGACACCUCUGAUGCCGAAAAGCCUACGUGCUUUGGACGGGAGUUUAGGUCGAGCCCCGGGGGGACAUCGACGUAUCCUCUAGCUGCCCCACCAUCGAGGGAAGAAAGGGUGAUGGAACUAGUUGACGUGUACACGCCGAAGGGGGCGUUCCAGGUCGUACUAGGUUCCUCAUGCACUUCCGGGGGAACACGGCACUGAGGGCGAGUGCGGCUUGGAGCCGCUCUCAAGCCCGAUGUACCGUGUAUCCAGCCGCGAGCGUUGGGAGAGGCAGUGCGGUGCACCGCAACCCAAUGCCGGCGGCCCGGGAAAGCAUGGCUGACAUUUCGACAUCCGCUUCUUCCUGAUCUCGACCCCCCGAGGGAGGGAGCUUCAAGGAAUCGUCGGAGUCUGAUGCCAGUAAGUCACCCUCCGAUGCUGCAACAGACAUCUCAUCAUCACGUACCGUGUCCGAUACGUGAUUGAGGAAUAAGACGGUGGACCGUCUUAUGGGGAACGGUCAGACGAGCAAGGCGAGGUGCGAACGGUCCGCGAGCCAGUGGCUGACGGAUUAGCGCUCACAGUAAUCCUCAUAUCACCCUCGCUGCUCGCCGUAGCGGGCGGCAGGGCCGUAGUCCUGCCGUCACGGAACGGGAAGCAGACAAGGUGGUGGCUGAGUCCCGUGGGAACACAGCCACCCGUGACGCAACGUCUGAAUCGUCAGCCGCCCGCAGUGCGGGCAGGACGUAUCCACAACAUCUGCCCCAGCGUACUGGAAGCAGACAUCGUGUCCGUCCCCCUCCUCGAUGAGUGUGUUGCACCCAAGAGAACAGCGGGACAUGCCACGCUGGAGAAAUUUGCUCUUUUAGAGAAAAAAACUCGAACACUUCUGGAACCGCCGAGACGCCCAGGGGAAGUCGCUGCAGGAAGGGACAGUCCGCUGCACCACGUCGUAGAGCCGGCAGUCUUGUAGCGAAGUCUGUUGAUCAUGAGCGAAGGCUCCAAAGAACAAAAGGUGAAUGAAUGAGGCACGCCGUCUCCCUUUUAUACGGGGAUAUCCGGGGGCGGAGUCCGGCAUGCAAAUUUCAUUCGCCAAUUUUCAUUGGCCUUUUCUAAGAAGUCGGAAGCGAUUGGCUCUCAGGGACGAACCCCAUCUGUCAGUUCGACACAACGUCGAGAGACCGACAGAAAGGGAACUAUAAGUGAUGUAAUACAAAAAAUGAUGAGCUGACUAGGCUGUCUAAUAGGCGGAAAUUAGCCGAAUCUGCUCGCAAACUUACCUUCGUGGCUCACGGACUUCCUUCUACACCGAAGCAUUACCGCUAUCGAUUUUUAACAAAACAGACCUACUCAAAUGUAUCUAACCUAACUAUUUUCACUCGUUAUUGUCUAAAAAACUUUCAAUCAGGAGACGUAAUGCCGAGAAGCUCCCGCGGAGUGAAGAAGAGGUGGAGUUACGAGACUUCUCAGACAGUUGAAGUGUCCAAUGGAGUUAAGAGAUUUGCGCUCAAGCUAUUUUCAACACUUUAGAUUGGUUAAUAAUUUGUAAAAAUAACAGACCCACAUGGGGACUGACCAAUAGCAUCGAUUUGUGAAAAAAUAUGAAAUUGACCAAAUUUGGACAUAGGAGGCGGCGACAGCGACGAUAUUUUUGUUUUCUUUUUAUAAGGUGCACCAACCUUACAGAUUGCUCUUGACAAAGCAAAGAUGCAAAUUGAGAUUCAGAAGCAGAAGAUUCUUCAUCUUGAGGAAAAAGCUGACUCUCUGACAGAUGACAGAAAUUUUCAAGACUGGAGGAUGAUUCAUCAGAUUCUGAACCUAGAGCAAAAAAGAAGAAACGGGGAAAAAAAAGCAUAAAAACAAGAAGAAAUCCAAGAAAAUGAAGGUUGAUUUCCGGAGAGUAAGAACCCCCGAAGACUCCAUCAAGCGGUACCACAGUGUUUUACAGCUCGUAAAAGGAGGCUUACAACAAAAUGAAAGUGGACCGAAAUACAAUUGUCAUCCAAGCUCCAAUUGCAGAAUUGGCAACUGCUAAUCCUGAGGAGUACAAAGGUUUGAGAGCAACCUUUAAAAAUGGAGAAAGCAUUCAAAAGUUUUCGGAUCUUUGUCUUGCAAGGUGCCUGGUUCAGCCAAAUGUGGGUGUUAUUAAGAGUUUAAAAGAAAGCAGUGCCCUACUGGAUAUAUCAAAGAAGUGAGAUAUUCUAGUUACAAGUCUGAAAUGUUUGUAAAAGGAAUAGUUCACCCAAAAUGGUCCCCAUUUGAACUUGAACAUAGUAAUUAUUAUUCCUACCAUGGAAAGUCAAAGGGGACCAUUCAUGGGUGAAAUAUUCCUUUAAAGAAGUUUAUAAGGUUAAUAAAUGUUUAAGUGUUUGUUAACAUCACUACAGUGUUCAUCGAACACAUUUUUACAUCUUGAUUUUAUUUUCACAUUGUACGGUAUUAUAUUUGAAUCUGUUGCGUUUUAUGUUAAGUAAAAUACAGAUUUACUUUAGCAAUUGAUUUAAGGUGUUCUGAUGUUUAAGAGAGCAGUGCCCUUCUUGAUAUAUCAAAGAAGUGAGAAAUUAUUGUCACAAGUCUGAAAAUGUUUGUUGAACAAGCUUAUAAGGUUAAAUAAAUGUUUAAGUGUUUGUAAGCAUCACUCCAGUGUUCUUCAGCACAGUUUUAAAUAGUGGUUUUAUUUCCGCAUUGUUCGGUAAUGUAUUAAAAUCUAUUUUGUUUUAUGUUAAGUAAAUUACAGAUUCAGCAUCUUGAUUUAAGGUGUUCUGAUGCCUUACUUUAAAUACAAUGUGAUUUUACCUUCUAAAUUCUGUGCUGAUAAAUCUUAAUAAUUAAGUAAUAAUUAUCAAAAGUAUUCUGCUGUUCCAAAAUAAACACUGUGUUGGAUGUAAAUUGGAGUAUAGAUUUAAAGAUUUAAGUGCAUUUUCCUGUCAAGACAUAAUGACACAAAUACUAACUCACCAGUAAGUACUCAUAGAUUAAUAUGAAUUUAUGUCAUGACUUUACUUGGGGGGCACAUUAUUACUAACUCAUCAGUAACUACUCAUAUAUUGAAUAAUAUGAAUUUAUGUCAUGACUAGGUGACAUCAUUAAAACGUGCAGUUACACAUGUUACGUAAAUAUUCAGGUCAUCUUAAUCAUAUUAUUUGAUGCUUUUUGGUGGUAAGUGAACGAGUGGAAGAGAAGAGGUGCAGACUGCAGAGGUAAAUAAGCAGACAUUUUGAGGGGACAGUAAUGGCCGAAAAGAAGAGCAAAAACACAUGACGGAAACGUCUGUCUGUGCAGUCUGAUAAAAAGACUGUAGACCAGUCCACAAAACAACCACACCAAUAAGCAUCAUCUGUAGCCUUAAACUGGUUUUAAUUUGGAAAGUUUUGUCUGUUAAAUGCAGUGGUUUUUAGUCCUGGUCAUUGGGACCCUCUGUUCUGCACAUGUUGUAUGUCUCCUUUGUUUACCACACCUGAUUCAGAUUAUCAGUUCAUUAAAUAAGAGCUCCAGAACAGAGAGAAGUAUGUCAGAUAAGUGAGACAGAAAAUGAGUGAGUGCAGAGUGGUGGGUCUCAAAUGAUUAGGAUUGAAAACCACUGGUUUAAUGAACACCUUAUUGUAGAUAAUUCACUUUUAACAAUAGCAGUAGAAUCACUCAAAAGAGAACAAGAUAAAAGUAUAGCUUCUAAUUACCAAUGCAUCACUAUAGAUUAAAAAACAAUGGCAAGAAAUCCACUGCCAUUGGAUGAUGUUUGUGCCAAAGCUGCAGGUUGUAAAUGUAUAAACCAUUUUACAGUACAUCACAAACAAACAAAACACUGUGCCCUUUUAAUUCAUUUUAUCUUCAGAGCAUGUCUGAUUUCAUCCCAAAAUGCUAAUUACAUUAAUUAACAAACAUGUACUAACGUGUAAUUACGGCAGCUGUUAUUCAUGCAGGAAUUCAUAUGACUCAUGACAUAGUCAUGCUUGGUUCUUGAUUAGUACAUGGCUUAACUUUAAAGUGAUUAUUAAUUUAGGUAUUAGUACAUGAUUACUCAUGUACUGUUAUUGUAAAGUGUUAACCUUGUAAUUCGUAAAUUGAAUUUAAAGGAACUAUUUUGUAAUGAUGACAAUUAACUGACAUUGUAAACAGUGUGAAUUCAUUCAUGUUUAUUUGGGAACAUUCUGUAACAAGACAUUUGUAAUCUUUGUAUGUUUCAGUUUUACAAAAAAGAGAAAGGAGAGGAAAGAACAUAAGUAAACACAGUAAAAGCUCUCAACAUUACUUCUUCGUCUGACAUUUUCUU